GUGGGCUCGCCGUGUUGUCGCCAGAAGCACGGUGACAGUUGUAGACUGCCCCCAGUACAUCCUCAGACUGUGUUGGUCACUGACACAAAUGACGCACUUCACUCUUUCGAUGCACGUGUGACAAACAAAGAGGCAUUGAGAAGCGUAGACAGAGUCCAGAGAAGGGAGGCUGGUUUCCGUGAUGGACAGGGCUGCGUCCACAACUCUACUGGUUCUUGCAGUCACGGAUGGUGCAGAGGCCGUACCAUGUCGAAUGUGACGUUUUCUAUGAGGCAUCAACUCAAAAUCGGCGAGCUUUCCUUGUAAUUAGCUCACGUACCGACUCCAACUUGAUUUUCAAGCAUUCAAGUCUGGAGACAUCAGAAAUGGCUGGGAGCGAAAAUGAAAUGACUUCACUACUUCAACAAGUUAGGAACUAUGAAGAAUUUGAAGGUAUUGGUGAUCAUCUUGAAUGUUACAAUGAAAACAAAGAUUUGGAGCAAAUCUUCAAUGUUGAAAACAUUGUAUGAAGUUAGCCCAUUAUCUGUAUUAGAUGUCUGCACUGAUUUUGUUCAUUUAGUCAAACAAUAGAACGUGGCAGCAUAAACUGGAAGAAUUCCUCCACCAGCUAGAGUUUUAUAGUACUGUACUAAUAGUAUGGUUACUGUUCUAAUUUGUUCUGUAUUUCAUUUAAAUAAUUUAUUACUCCAUUGACUAGGGGUUUGUCAUUUUUAUACAUUUUUAACUACUUCCAUAAAACUUUGGCUUAAUUGGGGAAAUGUGUACUAGUCCCAAUGGAAUCCAUUAAAUUUCUUAUUGUAAAUUAUAAUAUUUUUAUGCAUUACACUGUAAUGCUGCAGCAAAAGAACACAUUUCAUGACAUAUGUCAGUGAUAAUAAACCCGACUCUGAUAUUUAUCCCGUGUACAUCCUGUGAAGUCUGGCUUACUACUGAAAGCAACUGUGUUUGAGAAAACAAAACCCCAGCCCGGACGUUCAGGCACUGUGAAUUAUAAAAAACCUGGGGAAUGGUCAGAGCGAGAAUGGAAAGCUCUGCCAACAGAGUGAAAAGCACCCUGCAGUUUAUAAUAGGAUAAAGCUUGACUUAUUUUCUAAUUUCCAGCCUUUUUGCAUAAACAGGACACACAAAUAAGAAACAGAGAGCCCAAUUUACUGUCCUUUUAAGGAAAAUCUUUCUAACUCAUCCCUUAAUAACCAACAGAAUAUGUUGAGUCACUGUUUCCUGGAUGUAUUUGUAUUUGGCAGGAGAGCCUCAUGCUUGGGUAGUGUGUGUGUGCUUUUAAAGUACCUCUCUGAAUGGAUUUUAUCUUCCAGAGGACUGUGCAUUAUUCAUCAACUACCCAGACAUUUAAAAACAUUCAUUUGGAUAAUGGGAUCUUUAAGGAUGCAAGUAAGGUUUGUUAAAGUACUACAGCACUGCACUUCUAAAAUAAAAGCACGCAGACAUGGUCAAGAGGUUUGGUUGUUGUUCAGACCAAACAUCAGAACGGGAAAGAAAUGUGACUUAAGUGACUUUGACCGUGGAAUGACUGCUGGUGCCAGAUGGGGUGGCUUGAGUAUUUCAGAAACUGCUGAUCUCCUGGGAUUGAUUGAUUUAUACACAUAACAGUCUCCAGAGUUUACAGAGAAUGCUGCGAGAAACAAAGGCAUCCAGUGAGCGGCAGUUCUGUGGGUGAACACACCGUGUCAAUGAGAGAGAAUGACCAGAUUGGUUCAGGCUGACAGGAAGGCGAUAGUAACUCAGAUAACCACACAGUACAACAGUGGUGUGCCGAAGAGCAUCUCUGAAUGCACAACACGUCAAACCUCGAAGUGGACGGGCUACAGCAGCAGAAGACCAGAAACAUACACUCAGUGGCCACUUCAUUAGGUACAGGAGGUACUGUACCAAAAAUGGCCACUGAAUAUAGUUAAAGUUUUGCUGGAACAAUUUUUUCCUUUUAAUAUAACAAAACAAACAAAAAUGAGGCAUUUCUGGAAAAAAAUAAAUGAUUCAACAUGCAAAGCUAACUCAAUUCUUCCUUUUUUGCUUCAUAUUGCAAGAGAUAGUCAGAUAGAUCGUUCCACAAACAUCAUAAUUUAGUCAGCAACAUACAUUCAAUAUGAAUCCUUUACAGUUGCCAGUAAUUCUCAAUACAAUGUGCUACCUUGAACAAACACAACUUCAGAAAUAGUCAAAAUCUUUUUUACAGCAACAAGUACGUGCAACCAAAUUUUUUUAAUCCAUAUAAUAUUUAUAACUCAUUAGAAACUCUGAUUUGACACACAUGACCUUCGUAAAUCAAAGUAUUGAGUACAGGAGUUAGGAUGUUAUGUCGAAGUUGUAUGAUGGUGAGGCCUAAUUUGGAGUAUUGGUCACCUACCUACAGUAAAGAUGUAAAUAAGGUAGAAAGAAUACAGGGAAAAUGUACAAGAAUAUUGCCAGGUCUGAAGAACUUGAGUUAUAAGGAAGGAUUGAAUAGGUUAGGAUGGUAUUCCUUAGAAGAUUGACGAUUGGGAGGCGAUUUGAUAGAGGUAUACAAAAUCAUGAGAGGUACAGAUAGGGUAAAUGCAAGCAGGCUUUUUCCAACUGAGGUUGGGUGAGACUAGAACUAGGGGUCAUGGGUUAAGGGUGCAGGUGAAAAGUUUAAUGGGAAGGGGAAACAUCUUCACUCAGAGGGUGGUGAGAGUGUGGAAUGAGUUGUCAGAACAAGUGACGUGUGUGAGCUUGAUUUCAACAUUUAAGAGAAGUUUCGAUAAGUACGUGGAUGACAGAGGUAUGGAGGGCUAUGGUCCCAGUGCAGGUUGAUGUGAGUAGGCAAUUUAAAUGGCUUGGCACGGACUGCUUCUGUGCUGUACUUUUCUAUGACUAUAUUUAAAUAAUAUAUUUAUAUAUGAAAACCUGAUUUAGUCUAAAUUCAGCCCUCAAAUAGACCAGAAAUAUAUAUAUUAUUCAAGUCAGAUUACCCUUUAGCAUCCACUUCAUCAGCCAAACUCUGCUUUACUUUGAUGAGGAUUGAA